GCACGCAGGGAAAGGAACGAAGCGAGAGGAAAGUCCGGGCAGCACAGGACACCCCACUUCCCAAUGCAGAAGCAAUCCGCGAGGGUUGAGCAGUGUAGAAGAAAAAAACCGCCAGGCAGCCUUAUGGCUGUCAGGUAAGGGUGAGAAGGCGAGGUAAGAGCUCACCAGCAUAGUGGUGACAUUUAUGGCUGUACACCUUGGGGGCUGCAAGUUCAUGUAUAGUAGCGUUACGAGGGUUGUCCGCCCAAGCUACAGGGUAGAACGCUAAAGCCUGAUGGUGACAUCAGUGAUUGGAUAAAUGACAGACUGCGAGUGUUACCCUUAAAUAGUACAUUCGCUACAGAACCCGGCUUAUAGUUCAUCUGC
rnacentral:RNase_P_RNA from 1 species